GUCAUGGCAGCUCAGUCGGGAAAGUAGACUGAAGAUCUAAAGGUCGCCGGUUCGAUCCCGGCUCGUGGCA
rfam:Brugia pahangi genome assembly, scaffold: BPAG_scaffold0000071